AUUGAACGCUGGCGGCAUGCUUUACACAUGCAAGUCGAACGGCAGCGCGGGCUUCGGCCUGGCGGCGAGUGGCGAACGGGUGAGUAAUGCAUCGGAACGUGCCCAGUAGUGGGGGAUAGCCCGGCGAAAGCCGGAUUAAUACCGCAUACGACCUGAGGGUGAAAGCGGGGGACCGAAAGGCCUCGCGCUAUUGGAGCGGCCGAUGUCGGAUUAGCUAGUUGGUGGGGUAAAGGCUUACCAAGGCGACGAUCCGUAGCUGGUCUGAGAGGACGACCAGCCACACUGGGACUGAGACACGGCCCAGACUCCUACGGGAGGCAGCAGUGGGGAAUUUUGGACAAUGGGGGCAACCCUGAUCCAGCCGUGCCGCGUGCGGGAAGAAGGCCUUCGGGUUGUAAAACGCUUUUGUUCGGGAAGAAAUCCUCUGGGCUAAUACCCCGGGGGGAUGACGGUACCGGAAGAAUAAGCACCGGCUAACUACGUG
rnacentral:rRNA from 1 species